CCAAAGGAUCUUUUCAGAUCCAGCAGAAGGACUAAAGUAGUUAAAU
rfam:Tinamus guttatus contig9732, whole genome shotgun sequence.